rnacentral:rRNA from 1 species
UACGAAGGGGGCUAGCGUUGCUCGGAAUUAUUGGGCGUAAAGAGCUCGUAGGCGGUUUGUCGCGUCUGCUGUGAAAACCUAAGGCUCAACCUUGGGCUUGCAGUGGGUACGGGCAGACUAGAGUGCGGUAGGGGUGACUGGAAUUCCUGGUGUAGCGGUGGAAUGCGCAGAUAUCAGGAGGAACACCGAUGGCGAAGGCAGGUCUCUGGGCCGCAACUGGACACU